rnacentral:rRNA from 1 species
CGGUUUGGUAAAUGCCCUGUGAAAUCGUCCCGCUCAACGGGACGGCGUGCAGGGUAGACUGCCAGACUAGGGACCGGGAGAAGCAAACGGUAUUCCUGAGGGAGCGGUAAAAUGUGAUAAUCUCAGGAGGACCACCGAUGGCGAAGGCAGUUUGCUAUAACGGAUCCGACGGUGAGGGAUGAAAGCUAGGGGAGCGAUCCGGAUUAGAUACCCGAGUAGUCCUAGCUGUAAACUCUGUGUGCCAGAUGUUGCGUAAUCUCCGAGAUUGCGCAGUGUCGAAACGAAGGUGUUAAGCACACCACCUGGGAA